GGGAGUGUGGCUCAGUGGUAAAGCGCUCACCUUAUAUGUGAGAGGCCCUUGGUUCCACACCCA
rnacentral:tRNA from 1 species